rnacentral:lncRNA from 1 species
CUCCUCCAGCUGUCUCAGUGUAUGCCUCCUGGAGGGCCUGACUGACAUGUUGCUGUGAGCACAGUCUGAGAGAAUCGACAGCGGGGGAGGCUGGAGACUGGCUCACUCACUGUCCAACUGGCAGGAAGAUCCAUCCUGAGUGGGAUGUGAGUUCCAGUUACCAGCACAAGAGGGUGGCCUCAUUGAGGAUUUUACCAGUGCUUCCCUGGGCAAGUUUCCCAGUGGAAGGGAACUUUUGUCAAUGCACAGAUUCAAUGUUGCAUAUAAGAACGGUGGAAUUGGCUGGUUAACACUCCACUGUCUUGACUCAGCAAAGGGACAAUGACAGAAUAACUGUUUAAUACUCAAAGGCCUCUAUGAGUUCCUGGAGCAUCUUUGGUUUUCCCCUGCAGGGGGAGAACAGACAGCUGAGGAGCUAGUUGGCUCUCUGUUAUAAUAUAGCCUAAAGAGAUACCCUGUUUUUCCUCCUACGUCAAUUCUGAAUCAGUUCAUUUCUCUUCAUGUCUGCUGUUAACCUCCAAGUCAUCCCCAUUAUCUCUAAUAUUAUCUAU